AAGUGUUACAGCUCUUUUAGAAUUUGUCUAGCAGGUUUUCCAUUAAAAAAAAAAGGAUCUUC
ensembl:snRNA U7 U7 small nuclear RNA